UACGGAGGGUGCAAGCGUUAUCCGGAUUCACUGGGUUUAAAGGGUGCGUAGGCGGGUAGGUGAGUCCGUGGUGAAAUCUCUGAGCUUAACUCAGAAACUGCCGUGGAUACUAUUUGCCUUGAAUAUUGUGGAGGUGAGCGGAAUAUGUCAUGUAGCGGUGAAAUGCUUAGAUAUGACAUAGAACACCAAUUGCGAAGGCAGCUCACUACACAAUGAUUGACGCUGAGGCACGAAAGCGUGGGGAUCAAACAGG
rnacentral:rRNA from 1 species